GAUGAACGCUGGCGGCGUGCUUAACACAUGCAAGUCGAGCGGGCAAUUUAUCUAGCACUGAUUACUUCAAAUGGAAAUCAUAAGUGUAAUCAUGAAUUUCUACCUUUAAUAAGGGAAAAAAGAAAUUCAUGUACGCAAAUAGUGAUAACACAUGAAAGUGGAGUGAUGAGUGCUGGAUAAAUUGCUAGCGGCGGACGGGUGCGUAACACGUGGGUAACCUGCCCCUAUCACUGGGAUAACACACUGAAAAGUGUGCUAAUACCAGAUAACAUAAGCUUUUGGCAUCAUUAGCUUAUCAAAGAAUUUCGGAUAGGGAUGGGCCCGCGUCUGAUUAGCUAGUUGGUGAGGUAACGGCUCACCAAGGCAACGAUCAGUAGCCGACCUGAGAGGGUGAUCGGCCACACUGGAACUGAGACACGGCCCAGACUCCUACGGGAGGCAGCAGUAGGGAAUUUUCG
rnacentral:rRNA from 1 species